rnacentral:lncRNA from 1 species
CUUCAAACCAAUUACAUACAAUGUAACAGACUUCAAAAUGUGAAGGAUAGUUCAUCAGAGACUUCAUAUUUUGAAGGAUUAUCCUUCACAUUUUGAAUUUGUGAAGGAUUCCAAACUCAAGAUAUAUCAAUAACAAAUCCAAACACAAACCGAAAGACAGAAUACCCUACUCAAACAUUAGAUCAAAAACUCAAAAUCGAGGUCACGUUCACAACUAUGAAUGAUUAUGUAAAUGUAAUUGUUCACAUAAUGGCACAAUCCAUCAUAAUCCCAAACACGAUUAUCAAAAAUAGGUCGCAAACACUAACACUUGGCCAAUCAACAAAAAUGUAGUUCACAAUUCACAGAAAUUAGGUCACAAUCUAUAGAAGAUAGGUCGUAAUCUACCAAACUUAGGUUAGAAUCACCCAUUCACAUCAUACCCAAGAUACUCAUACAUUGCAUUUGACGUUAUAAUGCAUUAAAAAAAAAAAAAAAAAAGAACUAAUACUGCAGGAUUUACCUUCUUCGAUGAGGAUUUUCCAUUAGAAUAGGACAUUUUUCUUUUUUCAUAGAGGUUCUUGAGCAUUUUUCUUCAUUUACCUUUCUUUUUAAUCUUUCAAACUUCUUCUUUCUCAUUGGAAUGAGAAUCACUCCCCACAAUUUAUAAUCAACAUCAUUUUCUUCAAUGCCGGGUUUGCUAAUGUUUGAAUAGUAGAAAUUGUGGUUGAAUUGAAGUUUUCAAGAUUGAUGAAGAUGCCAGAUAAGAGGAGCGAUUUCAAUGGAGGUUUAGUUUUGAAAAGAUUUGAUUGAUUUUCCUCUCUAUCCUGA